CCUACGGGGAGCAGCAGUCGAGAAUCAUUCACAAUGGGGGAAACCCUGAUGGUGCGACGCCGCGUGGGGGAAUGAAGGUCUUCGGAUUGUAAACCCCUGUCAUGUGGGAGCAAAUUAAAAAGAUAGUACCACAAGAGGAAGAGACGGCUAACUCUGUGCCAGCAGCCGCGGUAAUACAGAGGUCUCAAGCGUUGUUCGGAAUCACUGGGCGUAAAGUGUGCGUAGGCUGUUUCGUAAGUCGUGUGUGAAAGGCGCGGGCUCAACCCGCGGACGGCACAUGAUACUGCGAGACUAGAGUAAUGGAGGGGGAACCGGAAUUCUCGGUGUAGCAGUGAAAUGCGUAGAUAUCGAGAGGAACACUCGUGGCGAAGGCGGGUUCCUGGACAUUAACUGACGCUGAGGCACGAAGGCCAGGGGAGCGAAAGGGAUUAGAUACCCCAGUAGUC
rnacentral:rRNA from 1 species